rnacentral:lncRNA from 1 species
CAACGUCUUCAGCACAUCGUGUUUGUCUCAACACCUACCUUCAAGCUAAACCAUUACCUAAUAAAAGGCAGUCUCCUGAUUAGCAUGGCUUGAGAAGAUCUUCUUUAGAGAAAAUAAACACUGGAAACAAACAGAGCUGCUGGGUGAUCCCUUAGCUGGCAACACAGGUGGGUCACCUGCUGUAAGCUGUGCUCCUCCGUACACUUACCAUUUCCCUGGACUCCAAAUAGUCAACUUUGUUUCGAUUUUGUUAUCCGAUGCCACCCAUCCCUUAAGAAGAGCCAAACUCGAUCUACAUUCAUCAUCAGGGUAUAGAGAGCUUCUCUUGCUGAUUGGUAGGAAAUGUCGCAUAUGAUGUAAAGAAGAACACUUUGGAGAGUGCACAGCAGCAAGGGGCAAUGUGUGAGUCAGAGGGGUGUGUCUCCAGGAUACUGACUGCACAAGGACCUUCCUGCUCCAUCAAGAUGAUCCACUGUAGAAGGAAGCUUCUGGUUUUCUGUAUGGAUAGACUUCUUCU